AGCGAAGGAACAUUAAAUUUGUUGCAGUUAAAAGCUCGUAGUUGAAUUUCUUGCUAACGUCUAGCUCUGCGAGGGUAAAACCUGGCUUUGUUGGUCGUAGCAAUGUUGCCUCGUUUGGUUAGCAAUAACUUUACGGAGGCUCUUUUACUGUGACUUAAGUGAAGCGUUCAUUGCAGGCUUUUGCUUGAACAACUAUUACGGAAUAAUAAUGUAGAAGUGUCUAGUUAUUGGUUUAUAGAUAUUUUAUGUUUAACAGGAACAGGUGGGGGUAGUUUGUACUUUGUCAGCUAGAGGUGAAAUUACUAUGAUUUGUCAAAUAGACAAACGAACAGCGAAAGACAUCUACCAAGAAAUGUUUUCUAUUAAUCAAGAACGAAAGUUUGGGGAGUCGAAGAUGAUCAGAUACCAU
rnacentral:rRNA from 1 species